rnacentral:tRNA from 7 species
GCGGGUGUAGUUCAAUGGUAGAACUUCAGCCUUCCAAGCUGAUUGUGUGGGUUCGAUUCCCAUCACCCGCUCCA